rnacentral:rRNA from 1 species
UACAGAGGGUGCGAGCGUUAAUCGGAAUUACUGGGCGUAAAGCGCACGUAGGUGGCGACGUAAGUCGGGCGUGAAAGCCCCGGGCUCAACCUGGGAAUUGCAUUCGAGACUGCAUUGCUGGAGUACGGAAGAGGAAGGCGGAAUUCCCGGUGUAGCGGUGAAAUGCGUAGAUAUCGGGAGGAACAUCAGUGGCGAAGGCGGCUGCCUGGCCCAGUACUGACACUCAGGUGCGACAGCGUGGGGAGCAAACAGG